rnacentral:rRNA from 1 species
CUGGGAGGACCAUCUCCUAAGGCUAAAUACUCUCUAGUGACCGAUAGUGAACCAGUACCGUGAGGGAAAGGUGAAAAGCACCCCGGAAGGGGAGUGAAAUAGAACCUGAAACCGUGUGCUUACAAGUAGUCAGAGCCCGUUAAUGGGUGAUGGCGUGCCUUUUGUAGAAUGAACCGGCGAGUUACGAUUUGAUGCAAGGUUAAGCAGUAAAUGUGGAGCCGUAGCGAAAGCGAGUCUGAAUAGGGCGUUUAGUAUUUGGUCGUAGACCCGAAACCAGGUGAUCUACCCUUGGUCAGGUUGAAGUUCAGGUAACACUGAAUGGAGGACCGAACCGACUUACGUUGAAAAGUGAGCGGAUGAACUGAGGGUAGCGGAGAAAUUCCAAUCGAACCUGGAGAUAGCUGGUUCUCUCCGAAAUAGCUUUAGGGCUAGCCUCAAGUGAUGAUUAUUGGAGGUAGAGCACUGUUUGGACGAGGGGCCCCUCUCGGGUUACCGAAUUCAGACAAACUCCGAAUGCCAAUUAAUUUAACUUGGGAGUCAGAACAUGGGUGAUAAGGUCCGUGUUCG